rfam:Pseudogymnoascus pannorum VKM F-4515 (FW-2607) contig_1765, whole genome shotgun sequence.
UCCGGUAUAGUGUAGGGGUUAACAUAACCCGCUUUCAAUUUCCUUUGGAGCACCGGGUAGCCCCGGGUUCGAUUCCCGGUACCGGAA